ensembl:lncRNA
GGGGGAGGUGUAUGGGGAGCGGUGGCAGCAGGAGAUGAAGGGAGAGGGAGGAGGUGGCAAGACAAAACCCAAUUUUCCCCCCUUCCUUUUUAAUUCUUUCUUCUGGUGUGUCUGCUCCACCGCCCGGCUAAUCCCCCAAAUCCGGUCUCCUAAGCUGCAGCUGCUUCCCUGCCGCAGUGAUGAAUGGCUCAGGGAGGGAAGGUGAAUUCAUAUUUUAAUUACCGAGAUCUCCUCCAGUGAAUGGCCCUCAGCCAGGAGUAGGGAAUGCCCCAGUUCACCUUUGCCUGCUUCUGUGGACUCCAUGGCUUCUGCAAAAUGAAGAGGAAGAAAGAGGAUACCCACAGACAGCGAGAGACAGCAGUGUGAGCGGAAACAGGGACUGUACCAUUUGCCUGGUCAGGUUACCCCCUUGCUCCUUCCUGAGGGAUUCUUUCAUUUGGCGCCUUUUCAGAUUCCCGAUGUUAGGCUCCCACCUGGGGGUUGGGACUUUGAAGUAGAAGAUAUAAUUUGUGGCCUCCCCUAUGCUUUACAUCCCAGUGCCUCAUCUCAUUUAGCCCUUCAAUGGACGUUGGGACUUUUCUGAAGGCAGAAUGGGGAUGUUUGGGAUGAUCCCAGGUGAUUUGAGAAGAAGUAGAUGCUUAGCCCAGAGACAAAGCCAGGGGGUCCUUUCCUAUUCAAGCUGAUUCAAAACAUAAAUAUCACCCCAACUGGCCCCUCUCCCUUUGCUUUUCUUCUGUACCCUCCAAUCCUCCAGCCCAUACCCAGAAACCUCCCUGCUUAGGGGGAGGUAGGGCAAAGAUAGGAUGAAGCCAACUGAAGCAUGAAAACUUCUGUCAGACCAUCAAGAGACAGACAAGACUUUACAACAAAUGGAACACUUAUUCUACCUUGAGAAUGAGAGCUCAUUGGAGUCAACACAUUUAAAGACUGAGUGAAGAACAUGCUGUCAUGGGCUGGGACAAUUAUUGCAAAAUCAAGAAGGUGGGGAGAUGGGCAACCAACUUCUUUUGAUUAGAAACAUGGAACUGACCCUUAUCUAGAUUGGGGAGGUUGGAAAAAGAGGGACUAUGUUGUUUGAUGGGCUCUGGUGGGACCAGUGUGGAAAAAAUUUUUUCCCAAGACUUGGAUGGAAAUUGGGGCUUAGAAUUUUAGGGAGGAGUUUCUAAGGGAGGAUAGGAAGGUAGUACAAAGGGAUUGGCCCUGUGUCUGUAUUCCCAUUCUUCUUUUGGAACUAUCUAUCCCAGGUCCUCCUGUUUUAGGCUCCACUGGAAGUUAGAGUAGUCAAAGGUGGGAUCCAAGGAAUUAAGGAGCUUCAGUUGGAGAAUUUCUGGCAGAGAGAGGGGUCUGUCCUUUCUCUCAAGAUGGACUCUACUCCUUUAGGGUUCUUUUUCUCUCCUCAUCUUUUGUUGAGAAUUUGGCUUCUCUCUGGAAGGUAGGAGUUUCUUUUUUCCAGCUAAGCCAAUCAAUGUCAUCAUCCACUUCUACAAUUUCUGUGCUUCCAGGGCAGGGAUAGUGAUCUAAGCAACCCUGCCUUCCCACUGAGCCCUUCUCCCCUCAGGUGGCUUUCUAUCAGGGCUUGGUUGGGGACCCCUCUUGCUUCUUAACCUCAUCUGUUUACGUUUUCCAUUUUUCUUAAAGCCAUAGGAAAAUGCCUAAAUGCGUGCCUUUGGGAGGUCUGGGAAGUGAGGAGGGACUCAAGAUACCUUACCCUUCUUGAUUUCCUUCCCUUACCUGGGGCUUAGUAUCAGUCCUCCUUUCCCAGAACGAAGGAGGCAAAGAAGGAGAUAAUUCCUUCUUUAGAUUGUUUUGUAUGCAAAUAGACUUUUGUCACUGUGCCUGAGACACCUUUCUAGAUGCUUAGAGGGAAUGAAAGAAAAAAAGAAAGGAAGGGAGGAGAAAAGGAAGGAAGAAGGGAGAGAAGGAAAGAAGAAAGGAAUGAAAGGAAGGAGGGAGGGGAAGAAGGAAGGAAAGGAAGGAAGGAAGGAAUGAGAAAAAAUGUUAUAGAUAGAAAGAUCUUGUUUUGGAAAGAAUGCUCUUUCUCACUAUAGGAAGUAGCUCAGUAUCUCCAAAAGAAAUUCAGGCCUUUAGCAUCCAAGGGAAAAAACCCUCCACUUACCAAGAUAAAGGGUAAUUCAGUCAAAGAAAGCAUUGCUGUGAUUCCCCAUCCCUUGAUAGGAGGCCAAUCUCUUGGAGUUCUUGAACAACAGGGAGUGGAGAGGGAUCAUGUGCUAGACCCUUGAAAGGUAAGAGAAGGAAGUAGGAGCAAAUUCUAUAUAAUUUGCUUUUAUCAGGUCUGAGCAUUCCCCCUUCAGGGACAUUUGGAAGCAAUACUUGGAUUUCCUUCAUGGACCUUAGGCUGCCUUUGUGAGGGGCAACCCCUAAAACCUCCCCUAUCUCCAAACCCAUGCUCUCACCCUGCAAUACACUCAUUUCCUUAGACCCAGAUAGUUUAAACUGAGACUGCUCCCCCCAAAAAAGAGCAAGAAGCAACAUUUAAAGGAUGCCAAAAACAGAAACUUAAAAGUUCCUUCUUGCUUUUAGAUGGCAAAUAAGCUCUGAAUAUGGGAACAUCGACAAGUAGGAAAAUGAAACUUUCCGUAGGUCAUCACACCGUGAAAAUAGGUCUUGUAUGUGCAGUAACUUUAAAUGUUCUCAUGAAUAUAUUGUCCAACCUCCCCCUCCUACCUCUAAAACACAAUUCACAUGUUGGUGAUUACUUGGGCUUCAGGAGAAUACCAGCAGAAGAGUUAAAAGGCACUUAUUUUAUCCACAAAGCAGAUUUGAGAUACAUACACUGAUUGUCUCUUGAAUCCCAAAGCAGGGAUAGAGGGAACAGAGGUUCUCUAAGGUCAGUAGUAUUUCUGAGAAUAGGGCUGGCUGGCAGUUAUAGAAAGCAGUAUAAUAGUUUAGCUGCCAAGCCUGAAGAGAAGCAUCUACCAAUUCUGUUCCUUUUUCAGAGCUGGGGUGAGAGUAAUAAGAAGGAAGAUUAAAAGGCCAGUGUGGACUUGCUCUUGCUGUUGCUGCUGAAGUUGAAAUGAGAAUGAACCACACAUAGCCUGUUAGGUUAUUCUGCCCACCUAAGAUAACAAUUUUAGUGGCUCUUCUGGACUUUGGUUUCCCUUCAGUGAAAAUAGGGGGACCAUUCUCCUCCUUUUACUUGAAAAAUGGUGGAGAUGAAUGUACAGGUCUUGAUCCUUUGGGAGACUGAAGGAGAGAAGAUUAGAAGAGUAAGGUAUAAGUGGUCCAUGAAGAUGAUGGGAAUUUUAUUCUGUUAUCACCCUCAGAGAUUUCGCUUCCACCUUUCAGGAGAUAGUGUCUCUGGCCAACUUGCCACCUGCUUCCCUGCUCUGUCUAUCAUUUAUUCCCAGAAAGUGAGGUGAAACUAUUUGAUUGAUUCCCUUUCCUGAUUGAAUCACUACCCUAAGUCAAGGUCUUCCUCCAAUUAUGGUCUCCAUAUUAAUGUUUGCACUUUGUUCCACAUUUAUCCCAUGUCUAAAGCCAGAGUCAAAGGGGUUUUGUGGUAAGAGUCUUGGGAACUUGAAGUAAAUCAAACCUUUCAGGUUCCAUUCAUCUGAUUCAUUGUGGGAGCGGAGGGGAUUCUCUUAGUCUCCCUGUGCCUUGGUUUCCCUAUAUGAAAGAAAGGGAUAAAAUUGACUCUGUACACUUUUCCUCUUCCCUGUCCUCCUCCCUGCUUUCCACAAGCAUAUGUAUGAUUAGGAUUGUUAAGUAUUUGGAAUUCUUAGAAUUUGAUAGCUGUCCAGGGUCCUGGCUCAGGGAACAGAGGGGCAAAGGGACCUUUGGAGAUCCCUAGCUCCUAUCUCAGGUUGAAUUUCUUAGUAUUUACAAAGUAUUUUCCUUUCCAGUUUUCCAGGGAAGGAAUUCUGAAUGUAAAGGACAUGGGGAGAGAAUAUGUAUAUAUUAUAUAUGUAUAUAUGCACACAUAUACAAACUCAUAAUGCAAUAAUUUAGUCAGCUGCAAUAUGAAGAUAAAGAUUUAGCUAUACUUAGUUCCACACAUCCCCUGUACUGUAACCAGAAUGAGUGCUGUUCUGUGCUACUUUGGCAUGGUGGAAUUGUGGGAAGGAAAUUAUAUCAGCAUUUGUAAAAACAUGGUUGGGGGUGAGGACACAGAGAACUGGUGCUCCUGUCCCUAGAAUGCCUCCAAAAGAUCCAUGCUCUAUACUGUCCUAUCAUUCCUUUCUUGCUAUAGAUGAGUCCUUAAAAAGCUCUUAUGGCCGGUUUAGACUGCCUUCUCUAUCUUUCUCUCUAUCUCUGUAUCUUUCUCUCUGUCUCUGUCUGUCUGUCUUUCUCUCUUUCUCUCUCUCACACACACACACACAUGUUCAUAUAACACACAUUCACAUGCUUAGGUAUUUACUCUCUCUAGCCUACCAUCUUUCCCACCACCCCAGAAACAAUCUUUGACAUAUUUUAGGGUCUUUACUGAAAAUACUUAAAAGAAUAAAAAAUUAUUCAGUCCUUUCCCUCUGCCCCAUCUGAGUAAACUACUAGUGAACUACAUAAUUGCUAAUGAGUUCCUAUCCAAAGUGAUUGCACAAAUUUAUGGUAAUAUGAAGUCUAAGAAUCUGCCCCCUCUACUGACUAAACAUGCAUUUUGCACAUGGAAUUCAGGAUCCCACUGAUGGGUUUACAGUGUGGCAGGGUUAUACAGAAGUAGGAGAAACUAAAAUGACAUGAAAUGAACUUGUAAUCAAAAUACCCCAGUUUCCAAGGUGGUACCAUUCCUGACUCUCCUGUGGAAUCUGGGAAAGUCAUUUCUCUAAGUCUCAGUUUUCCCCAUCUAUAGAAUGGGGGAAAUGAUUCUCAUUCCUCCUUUACCUCCUUUACCAGGCAAGGGUGGUGAGAUUGAAUUUGAACAGAUUAUUUAACAUAGUAUGAAUUAAGAGUCUAAAAUUAAGAGUAUGAAAUAAUUCAUAGACUAUCAUUGAAUUUAGUACAAGAUGGGACAUUGGAAAUCAUCUAGUCCAAACUCCUCAUUUUACAUAUAAAGAGUAUAACCAAAAUGAUCCAGAUAGUUUUGUGGAAGCUCACGGGAACCCAGUUCAUAGAAAUUUAGAUUUGGGGGAUUUAAACCAUAUACCUUAUAUAUAGGUAAAGACAAUGAGUAACUUGCCACAUAGGGGAUAAGUUGGACCUUUGAAGUCCUCUAAUUUUACAGUUGAAGAAACUGAAAUCCAAGUUAAGUAGCAGACCAAGGACUUGCAGCAAAUAUUUCAAGUUUAAAUCUGUGUCCUUUCUCCCCAUAACAAUGGAAUACACCCCAAUUUAUAAACUUGCAAAUGGCCACUAAAGCCUUUUCUUUGAGUGGGUUAAGUGCAUUCUUUGAGCUACUUUACUAUUCAUGAAGUCUUAAUAUUCGAAGAAAUAACUAUUUUUAUAGCAAAAUAUAUAUCAAUUACAUGUAAGAUAAUUAACUUGAUGUGACUGAUUCAAGAAAUAUUCAGUUUCUUGAGCCAUGGAGCAAGGGUUAGUCACAGCUGCCAUCUCCUUGCCUACUUAAAUCCUCUGAUUCCCUAUUCUACACCCCCAUCCCUGCCAAUUUUGGGAAAAGAAAGAGGGUUAAAAAAAAAAGGAAAAAAAAUGUAAUAACCCACUGCUUGUUAAAGAUUCAGGACUAGAGCUUUGAUCUUUUGAAGAAAAUUCUAUCUUGGACCUCUUAUAUGCUACCUAUACCUGAGUCCUCUUCUCUAAAUUGCUUUUUCAUGCUCUUAAUUUUAGGAGCUAUAGGUCUGAAACACAAGGAAUAGAGACAGAUUAUUCUGUGAAGUACAGAGUUGCAGCCCUGGCUGAUGGUAUCAGCGAGGCACUGGGUGGCAAAUGGUGGGAGCAUGAGUUCAGAGUCUUUAUCCUGGCUAGAGUCUGUGAAGCCUAUUUAGACCUAAUGGUCUCUUUCUGAAUAAGGAUAAUCUUACUGUUCCUAUAUACUAUUUCCUCAGGAAGCUUUUGUAUUUUGCAAAAACCCUGUAGCUCUGUGAAUUUUCCCCAGUCUUCCUAGUGGGGCACCUGGCCACUCCCUGCCCCGUUUUGAGGCAGUCUCCUCUAUGGCAACCACUUUUUAUAUUCCAUCUAAGAUUCAAAGUGCAGGGGGGAGGAAGAGGCAGAAGGAAACAGUUGUCAGAGAGAGAUGGCUGGACUCAGGCGAAAUCCUCAGGACUCUCCCAGCCUCCGUCACCAUGGCAACGUAGUUAUUUUUAGCCAGUUACUCAUGAUGCUAGGAGCACUGACUCUCUCUGCUCCAGAGAGGCCAGACUGGCCUCUGCCCUCAUCCUUCCGUGUUGUCCCUCCUUUCAGAGACCUGAGGUGGAGGAGACAAAUGGAGGGACAGGAGGCCUGCUAGGUGACCUCCCAGCUGGGCAUCCUACUCCAGAGGGACACAGUUCUGAGGGCUGUCAGCCCCCACACCUUUGGUUUUGUGUCUGUCUUAGGAAUCUAGUUCCUAAGUGAUCAAACGUUUUCUCCUCUCUUUAGGCAGUUACCCCAGAGAAAAACAGCUGUCACUCUAGGAGAGUUAUCACUCGGGGCAGUGAAUCUGAGGAAUCUUUUCCCUGAUGGUUAAACAAGCAGAUUCUGAGGGAGUUUGUUGCCAACCCUAGGGAAUACAUUGUCCAUAUCCUGAAAGGACAUAGAGAAAUUAAGUUGGAUGAUUAGUAGUCAAGUAAGUUGAUACUGGGAACAUAUAUUUUUUAGUCCUCCAGAAUUAAAAACAGGUAACAAAGAGGACUUUGGGCUUUUGAAAACCCAAGAUGAAGCUUGCAGUCACCCUUCAGGCUAGGAAAUGGAAUCAUGGGUUCCUCCCCUUUCCAAGAAUAACCAUGCUUCCAUUUCCCUUUCCUCCUCAGGACUGAAGGUAUUCUUCCUCUUGCCAUUCACAUUCUCACUCUCUUCAUCUCUUCCUAGACCCCAUCCUUCUCCACUUUCCCCUACCCUUUCUUCCAGGAUGGCAGGAAAACCUUAGGGAGACAAUGGUGCUACUAUUUCCCCUCAUUAUUUAUUCCAAUAUUAGUCAGUAGCCCUUGAACCCAGCGCAUGUAGUUGGGGUGAGGAUGCUCUUAUGCAAACCCUCUCAAAUCCUGGCAUUUCUGUGAAGCCACAAUCUCAGAGAAAGUUCCUGAGCCAGUAAAGUAAUAAACUGGAUCUGUCUCUUACACUGAAAUCUUCCUCUACCAAGCUGUCUCUGAUUAUUCAUUUUCCAGGGGUAGCAGGGACCCAUUUACUUGGCAAAUAAUUGGUUUCCUUCUGGCUCAAGUUGUCCCUUUCCUGAACCUAUGCACCUGGAGUAAGCACUUUUCUCAUUCAUGCUGAAAAACAUGCCUGUAAAUGCUGCUCUGUUAAUUGCUGUAAUAAAUGGACUUUAUUAUAUCCCUUUGCAGUAAAUGGAUUAUGGUGUCAUUGUGGAUGGGGCC